UAUACCGCGAAACUGCGAAUGGCUCAUUAAAUCAGUUAUCGUUUAUUUGAUAGCACCUUACUACUUGGAUAACCGUGGUAAUUCUAGAGCUAAUACAUGCUAAAAAUCCCGACUUCGGAAGGGAUGUAUUUAUUAGAUUAAAAACCAAUGCCCUUCGGGGCUCACUGGUGAUUCAUGAUAACUUCUCGAAUCGCAUGGCCUUGCGCCGGCGAUGGUUCAUUCAAAUUUCUGCCCUAUCAACUUUCGACUGCUGGGUCUUGGCCAGCAAUGGUGACAACGGGUAACGGAGGGUUAGGGCUCGACCCCGGAGAAGGAGCCUGAGAAACGGCUACUACAUCCAAGGAAGGCAGCAGGCGCGCAAAUUACCCAAUCCCGACACGGGGAGGUAGUGACAAUAAAUACUGAUACAGGGCUCUUUUGGGUCUUGUAAUUGGAAUGAGUACAAUUUAAAUCCCUUAACGAGGAACAAUUGGAGGGCAAGUCUGGUGCCAGCAGCCGCGGUAAUUCCAGCUCCAAUAGCGUAUAUUAAAGUUGUUGCAGUUAAAAAGCUCGUAGUUGAACCUUGGGCCUGGCCGGCCGGUCCGCCUCACCGCGUGCACUGGUUCGGCCGGGCCUUUUCCUCUGGCGAGCCCCAUGCCCUUCACUGGGCGUGUGGGGGAACCAGGACUUUUACUUUGAAAAAAUUAGAGUGUUCAAAGCAGGCCUAUGCUCGAAUACAUUAGCAUGGAAUAAUAGAAUAGGACGUGCGGUUCUAUUUUGUUGGUUUCUAGGACCGCCGUAAUGAUUAAUAGGGACAGUCGGGGGCAUCAGUAUUCAAUUGUCAGAGGUGAAAUUCUUGGAUUUAUUGAAGACUAACUACUGCGAAAGCAUUUGCCAAGGAUGUUUUCAUUAAUCAGGAACGAAAGUUAGGGGAUCGAAGACGAUCAGAUACCGUCGUAGUCUUAACCAUAAACUAUGCCGACUAGGGAUCGGACGAUGUUAUUUUUUGACUCGUUCGGCACCUUACACGAAAGUACA
rnacentral:rRNA from 1 species